UACGGAGGGGGCUAGCGUUGUUCGGAAUUACUGGGCGUAAAGCGCACGUAGGCGGAUUUGUAAGUCAGGGGUGAAAUCCCGGGGCUCAACCUCGGAACUGCCUUUGAUACUGCAAAUCUCGAGUCCGAUAGAGGUGGGUGGAAUUCCUAGUGUAGAGGUGAAAUUCGUAGAUAUUCGCAAGAACACCGGUGGCGAAGGCGGCCAACUGGACCAUUCUGACGCUAGGCGCAAAGC
rnacentral:rRNA from 1 species